GGGCCCGCACAAGCGGUGGAGUAUGUGGUUUAAUUCGAUGCAACGCGAAGAACCUUACCUACACUUGACAUCCUCGGAACUUUCUAGAGAUAGAUUGGUGCCUUCGGGAACCGAGUGACAGGUGCUGCAUGGCUGUCGUCAGCUCGUGUCGUGAGAUGUUGGGUUAAGUCCCGUAACGAGCGCAACCCUUAUCCUUAAUUGCCAGCGGUUCGGCCGGGAACUCUAAGGAGACUGCCGAUGACAAAUCGGAGGAAGGUGGGGACGACGUCAAGUCAUCAUGGCCCUUACGUGUAGGGCUACACACGUGCUACAAUGGCCGGUACAAACGGUUGCUAACCUGCGAGGGGAAGCUAAUCCGAGAAAGCCGGUCGUAGUCCGGAUUGGGGUCUGCAACUCGACCCCAUGAAGUCGGAAUCGCUAG
rnacentral:rRNA from 1 species